rnacentral:rRNA from 1 species
CUCCGCCGGCGACCGGCGCACGGGUGAGUAACGCGUAUGCAACCUGCCCGUUUCAGCGGGAUAACCCGGAGAAAUCCGGCCUAAUACCGCAUGUGGCCGAGGGGAGGCAUCUUCUUUCGGCCAAAGGAGGCAACUCCGGAGACGGAUGGGCAUACGUGGCAUUAGCUUGUUGGCGGGGUAACGGCCCACCAAGGCGACGAUGUCUAGGGGUUCUGAGAGGAAGGUCCCCCACACUGGUACUGAGACACGGACCAGACUCCUACGGAAGGCAGCAG